rnacentral:rRNA from 1 species
UACGGAGGGUGCGAGCGUUGUCCGGAAUCACUGGGCGUAAAGGGCGCGUAGGCGGCCCGCGCAAGCGUGCGGUGAAAGCCCGGGGCUCAACCCCGGGUCGGCCGUGCGGACUGCGGGGCUCGAGCACUGUAGGGGCAGAUGGAAUUCCGGGUGUAGCGGUGGAAUGCGUAGAGAUCCGGAAGAACACCGGUGGCGAAGGCGGUCUGCUGGGCAGUAGCUGACGCUGAGGCGCGACAGCGUGGGGGAGCAAACAGG